ACUAAUCGAACCAUCUAG
rnacentral:ncRNA from 2 species